ACGAGAAUUCUCUUGAUAAUGGUGCCAAGGAAGAUCUCAGUAGAACUGAAGAGGCACCGCGUCCGACACAAAUUCAAGGGAAUUUUGAUUAAAUCGAGAAAUUGCAUUGAAACAGGAAGGUACCUGGUGAGGAAGACGGUAGAGGAAGAAGCGGGAGGUCCUCAACAAGA